rfam:Streptomyces atratus strain OK807 genome assembly, contig: Ga0007934_1025
UCUGACGGUGCGUCAUCCCAUUCGCGCUAAGCUGCAAGCGCCCCGCGGGGGAAGUCCGGUCGAAAUCCGGCGCUGACCCGCAACGGUAGGCGGAGCCCGAUACGUGGACCCGUAAGCCCGAUUACCCGCGGCGGUGAAGGCUCCUGU